CUUUCAUGGUAAAGUACAUCUAGUCAUGAACACGGAAAUACGCAGCAAAACCUUGUUACUCAAAGACCCAGCUACUCUCUGACAGUCACCAUCAGACCAUCAGACCACCAGAUGGACAGGCUGUGGGUCACUCUGAUUGCAUUCUUAUGUGCUGUUUCCUCCAGUCAGUUCAUCCUAACACUGUUCCUCUGCUACCUGUUGGUGCUGUUUCCUCCAGUCAGGAUGGGAUCUCUGCAGCAGAGGUGGAGCUGAGAGUCAGACCAGGAGACAACAUCACCCUCUAUAGUGACUGUAGAACAACAAAUGCAAUGUACACAGUCUGGUUCAGGAAUUGGUCUCAUGAGCACCAGCCUCCUCUUGUUAUUACAUAUGUUAUUACAUAUUAUGAGAACAUCACUGCAUCUGACCUGGGACUCUACUACUGUGCUCCAACUGAGACUCAGGGGAGGUGACAGCAGAGAGCAGACUGCUGUCAAAUCACUCACUCACUUCAGUACCUACACAGCCAGAAGACCUAUACAAAUGUAGCUGGUAUGACGACAGUGUUGAUAUUUUUAAGUUACUUAAUUUUGAAAUAAUUUAAUACCAGUGAUAUUUUUUCCAACUUUUGUAUGUAACCUUUUAAUAAUAAUAACAAUAGUGAUUUAGAAAAUGUUUUAAAGCUCAGCGAAUAAUGGUUAAAUAUCUCUUGUUAUUGUAACGGUUGUUGCAAGGAGAGGACCAAGGUGCAGCGUGGUAGGUGUUCAUCAUGUUUAUUAGUUCUGAGCAAUGAAUCAAAAACAAAAUGGAACAAAGCGCAACAAAUCUGUCAGGUGAAAAACACAAUACAGAAAACAACUACCCACAAAAACCCUGUGGGAAAAGGCUACCUAAGUAUGGCUCCCAAUCAGAGACAACAAUAGACAGCUGUCCCUGAUUGAGAACCAUACCCAGCCAAAACAAAGAAAUACACAAAACAUAGAAAA
rnacentral:lncRNA from 1 species